GUAGUCUCGCACAGAUGCAUAUCAAUAAGCGGAGGAAAAGAAACUAACAAGGAUUCCCCUAGUAACGGCGAGUGAAGCGGGAAGAGCUCAAAUUUGAAAUCUUAAAGGGUUUCCCUUUACGAAUUGUAGUUUAAAGAAGUGUUUUCUGUUGAGGUUUUGGUAAAAGUUCUUUGGAAUAGGACAUCAUAGAGGGUGAGAAUCCCGUAUUUGACCUUUACUUUCAACUUUGUGAUACACUUUCAAAGAGUCGGAUUGUUUGGGAAUGCAGUCCAAAAUGGGUGGUAAAUUUCAUCUAAAGCUAAAUAUUGGCGAGAGACCGAUAGCGAACAAGUACCGUGAGGGAAAGAUGAGAAGAACUUUGAAAAGAGAGUUAAACAGUACGUGAAAUUGUCAAAAGGGAAGCGUUUGACACCAGUGUUGUUUUUCUGAAAAUCAAUUAAAGAACUGUUUAUGCUAAGUUGUUUAGACUUUAUCAGCUAACUGUUUAGUUUUGAGCUUUUCUUUAAUGCACUUUUCAGUUAACAAGUCAACAUCAAUUUCUUUGCUGUAAAAAAGCUUGAGGAAGGUGGCUUGAGAUUCGUCUUAAGUGUUUAUAGCCUCUUGCCUAUGCAGUCGGAGAGAUUGAGGUCUGCAGCGUAGAUCCUUCGGGGCUAAAUGCAUUUGUGCUAAGUUAUAGCAUUUUAUAGACAACUUGUUGACUAUGAUUUGUCUUGUAGCUUACUCGCUUAUGUUAUUUUACCUACGCUUAGGAUGUUGAUCUGUAGUGCGUGCGC
rnacentral:rRNA from 1 species